CCUCGUGAAGCCCCUCCACCAGCGCCUCUGCUCACCCCGCCGCCAGCGCAUCUCCUGGUCCCGCCGCCGGCGCAUCUGCUGGUCUCGCCGGCGCCUAAGUCCGCCCCGCUGCCGGGGAUCCCAUCGGCCUUCCCUUCAAAGCAGAGAACAAGCACUUGGAUCCCCCCAAGACCACAAGAGUCUCUGGCGGCUAGUCUGCAGCAACCAAGUGAAUCGGGUCCUACGGCUCAAGGUCCUUGUUGGGCACCGCCUGCCUGCAUCGGUGACUCUACAUCACCUUGGUACAUGGCUGGCAAUAUGGACUACUCUGAUCCACAAGUAUGGGGAGUGGAUUCUCACCCACCUGGUGGUUACCUUAGUUACUUUCAGAACACGGCAGGCCCCACACAACCUAUGCACAAUGGGAGUUCACCGCAACCAGUCAAUGCUGGCGAUGACACAAAUGGUGGUGAUUGUGGAAGGACCGAAAAACGCUUGCUAUGGACAAAACAAGAAGAUCUUCGAUUGGUAUGUCUCUUUUUGC